rnacentral:lncRNA from 1 species
AGUUCAAAUUUUACACACUUGUCCAUGUAUCAGUAGUCAAGCUCACUCUAUGAUUGUGUAUCUCCCUUUUUAAAUAAUCUUUCAUGGUAUCAUACAUAUUGAAUAACUCCCUCACGAUGGUUCUCCGAGAUGGAACAUGCAAUCUAAGCUGGACUUUGCACAUCAUCCGCCUAAACCCUUCACUCUCCACAACACUAAAAUGUACCUCCUCGAUCACAAUAUACUCAAUAAUACCUUCCACACUUUCUUCUUGGCUCCACCCUUUAGCAACAAGCAUGUUUUUGACAUCCCCCAAAAGGUUCAGAACUGCCUAGAACCUUUUGCAACUCAUUAGUUGGUUUAAAUAACUUGCAAUGUUUAUUGAUAUGUUCAAUGUAAGUACUAGUUCCACCCCCACUAGUAUCACAUGCAAAAAGGGUGUUACAAUAGUUACACUUAGCCUUCAAUACUUGUACCUCCACCAUAUCUUUCUUUCCAUCCUUUUCUACUUCUUGUAUUUCCGAGACGGUACACUUAGUGACAUGAUCCCAAACCCAAGAUCUCUCAGAAGAAGAUCUCUCUAGUGAAGCUAUUAUAGUUGGUUGUUUUGUCUUUAGAAUAUGUGGUGCUUUUCUUUUUCUGGAGGAUGAGGGGUUUGGGGGAGGCAUUGAUGAUUUUGCCUAUGUGGGUUGUGCUUGUGGAAGACAUGGUGAUGUAGCCGUAGAUGAUGCUACAUUAGUAGUAAGGGUACUUUGACUUUGAGAUUGAGACAUUAUGUAAAAAUCUGUAAAAAUUAAAUAAUGGAAGUAUAUUCAUUAAUCAAAUAAAGCUAUUUCGAAAUAUGUACACCAAUUUCAUGAAAUUACCACAAAAUACUAAUCAUCUCAAGAAACCAUUAAAACUUCAGAGUUCAGAUCACGAAUAAAACCAACUACUAAAUCCAUCCCCAUUAAGAGAAAGAAACUAAAUGAAACCAAAUGAAAACAAGAGAAAGACGUGCUCAAUGAAAACAAAGAGAAACCAAAUGAAAGACGUGCUAAAUAAAUCCAUCCCCAUUAAUACUCGAUAUGAAACCAAAUGAAAAUAGGAGAAAGAAACUAUAUGCUAAAAAGAGGAAGAGAGCAAUUUUGAAUCAUGCUAAAUUUGACUUACAUUAGCAAUAUUUUAAAGAAGGGGUGUGAUAUCCACACACCAUUUUUUACUUCUCUCACACCUUUUUGCUUUUUGGCCGUCGGAUCGGAUGAAUUAAAGAAGAUCAACGGACAGAAAUUAACAAGGGUGUGUGAGAAGUAAAAAUGGGUGUGUGAAUAGCACACCCCUUUAAAGAAAAACUAGUUUAAAAAAAAAGUGCAGAUAUAUUAACUAUUAAGUACUUACAUUUGUUGGGUUCCAAAGAAAAGACUAGUGCUUUCUUCCAAUCAAAAGAGUAGCCCCACUUCUCUGGUUCACUUACCUGCAGAAUGAUUAGGAAUAAUUAGGAAUAAGGAGAGAAUCAAACUAUAAGUUCACACACAUUCCCAUAUACUACAGAAACCAAAAUCAUACUAAAUUUGUUUGAGAAGACAUAAACCAAAUCAGAGGCUGUUAUGCUUCUAAAAGAACAUAUGAGCACUCCUAAUGCAAAACAACAUCAAAUGGUCCUUGAUCUGAAAGUGGCUUGUUGACAUCAAUUGUAAUGAAGAAGAUUCCUUUAUUCUUGCAAUGAAGAACAUCCCCUUACAACAAUCUGUAUUAGAGAACCUGUUUAAUGUGCUAAACCUAAAGACAAUAAGAGCACAGCCCCCAAUUACUCAGAAAUUACAAGGAAACAAGGUUGACAUCAGAGGCAACAAAGAAGUAAGCCUACAAGACUAAAAGGAAACAAACAGCCUAGCCUGCAAAGAUUCAGAGAAGUCUGGACACAAAGCCAGGAAUAAUUAGCACUUUAACCCUGCAGAUUAUGAUUGACGAGUGACAACCCAUCUUUGUUUACUUUUACUUUUGUUUGUUGGAUUAGCUAGCACUUUAACAUUCAACAGAAACUAGUAUGUAAAACUUUAAUGUGUUGUUCAUCUGCUACACAUUAGGUUAAUUAAUUUGUGUGUGGGUGUAUGAGUGUCACCCUUCAAAUUCAUGCAGUAAUUGCCAUGGCACUAGUGCCACUGCAGCUAGGCCUUGUCCUCCACCUCCAAUAUAUAUUGAAUUAAUUGCACUUUCAUCCAAGUACCCAUACAUCACUCCAUACAAAAUAAAAACAAAGACUUGUCACAAUAUCACUAAUGCCGGCUUGGUUCUUAAUGUUAUGUUGUAUUUUUAAAUCCAUUUGUAAUUAUAUCGGUCCGUGAAACAAUAAUAUAAAUUGACCAAAUUAAAAUACAGACCAUUGCCAAUGUAUUAUGAAUUAAUUGCGCUUUCAUCAUCCAACAACUCAUACAUUAUUCAAUGAAUAAAAUAAAUAUAUUAAUAAAGAGGAUAAGAUUGAAUAAUAAUAAACAACACUACGAACACGUAUGAUUGAAAGUUGUACUUUUAAACACAUUUGCAAUUUCAUCGGUAGUAUAUAGAAAGAGGGGAAACUUAGUGAACUUAAAACAUGUUUGAAUACUAAGUGAACUAAAGCAGAACAAAUCCCUAAAAAUUGCUUAAGUUCAAAUGGGUUUUCUAUCCGAAAAUCAAAUCUAAUUUCCAAAACAGAUCAAUAUAAGAACAUCUAAAAUUGAAUUGUAUCAUCAUCAACCAAAUCUACACCGGCCAUUGGUGAAACCAAACUCAUACAAUCACCAAAUCACGAACUUUUUGAGAUGCAAUCGAAACACAAAUUGACAACUGUGAACGAUAAGAACUAAGAAGAACUUGACUACAUUGAAUCUGAGAUGACAACUGAGAUUGGAACAUUAGAAAAAACAAACUAAAACUCACCAGAGACAUGGCUGUUCCAGAAAAACGUUUUGCUUAGACUUAGAUCUGAAAUAUGCAAAGCCAAAAAAAACCCAAACUUUGUUAUCAGUGAUUCAGUAUUACAGUGGAAAAAAAAAUGGUAGAUGCAAAAAGAAGAACCCUAAAUGGUGGCAACAGAUCAAUCAUCAAUCUACAAAUGCAAUUCAAAUAUAAAUGACACUGAAUUACAUGGAUUAAACAAGAAUUACAAUCCUACAAAUAAAUGACACUAAAUUUGCCAUGAAAAGUGAAGCUCCACAAUAGGUAAUAACCCAUGGAAAAUCAAAAGAGCAUGUUUGACAGAGAUGCAACUGAAAAUCUAAAACCCAAAUCACUUCCACAGAACCUGAGACCAUGCUUGCAUGCAUCAAUCAAAUCCAAAUGACACGUGGGAAGAUAGUCGACAUUGCCUCGCAUCUACGAGACCCAAAACACAACUUCCCUUCUCCCAUUUGUUCACAAGUGCUCAUAUGGUUUCUAUUCUAUUUUGCGCAAGUAAUAACCCAAAAUUUGUUAUAAGUGAUUCAGUAUUACAGUGGAAAACAAUUGGUAUAUGCGAAGAGAAAAACCCUAAAUGGUGGCAACACAUCAAUCAUCAAUCUACAAAUGCAAUUCAAAUUUUAAGAAAACCCUAAAUGGUGGCAACAGGAUUCAAUCAUCAAUCUACAAAUUCUAACUUAAAACCCCUAAAAUCCCUACACCAGAUAUUCACAAUUUCACAUUAAUAAUAAAACCUAAUUCAAAAUUACCUAAAUUUUAAAGGGAUGAUGGUUGGUAGUGGUACUGGACCACUGGUGGUAGCAGUGUUCGUCGACGGUGGUGAUGGGGUGAUGGUGGUCGCGACGGCGGAUGUGGUACCAUUGUGUUGGUAGCGACGACGCUGUGAGAGUGUGAGAGUUGAAGCUCGAUAGUGGUGAUGGGGUGAUGGGGUGAUGGUGGUUGUGACGGCGGAAGUGGUGCUGUUGUGUUGGUCCCGACGACGUUAAGCAAUGUAAGUGAGAGUCUGAGAGUUGGAGUCGAGGGAAGGGACAGGGAAUGAGUCGAGUCGAGGGAGGGAGAUAUUCUGAGAGACUGAGGGUGAUUCUAGAACUCGGGAGGUGGAAUUGGCUAAAGUAGCCCCGCUUCUCUGGUUCACUUACAUGCAUAAUGAUUAGGAAUAAUUAGGAAUAAGGAGAGAAACAAACUAUAAGUUUACACACAUUCCCGUAUACUACAUAAACCAAAGCCAUGCUAAAUUUGUCGGAGAAGACAGAAACCAAAUCAAAGGUUGUUAUGCUUCUAAAAGAACAUAUGAGCACUCACCUUAUGCAAAACAACAUCAAAUGGUCCUUGAUCUGAAUGUGGCUUGUUUACAUCAAUUGCAAUGAAGAAGAUCCCCUUAUUCCUGCAAUAAAGAAGAUCCCCUUCUAACAAUCUGUAUUAGCAAACCUGUUUAAUGUGCUAAACCUAAAGACAACAAGAGCAGAGCCCCCAAUUAUUGAGAAAUUGCAAGGAAACAAGGUCGACAGUAAAGGCAACAAAGCAGUAAGCCUACAAGACUAAAAGGAAACAAACAGCCUAGCCUGCAAAAAUUCAGAUAAGUCUGGACGCAGAGCCAAGAAUAAUUAGCACUUUAACUUUUGUUUGUGGGAUUAGCUAGCACUUUAACAUUCAACACAAACUAGUAUGAAAAACUUUAAUGUGCAGUUCAUCUGCUACACAUUAAGUUAAUUAAUCUGUGUGUGGGUGUGUGAGUGUCACCCUUCAAAUUCAUGCAGUAUGAGGGGGAAUUCCCACGGCAUUAGUGCCACUGCAGCUAGGCCUUGUCCUCCACCUCCAAUAUAUAUUGAAUUAAUUCCACCUUCAUCCAAGUACCCAUACACCACUCCAUACAAAAUAAAAACAAAGACUUGUCACAAUAUCACUAAUGCCGGCUUGGUUCUUAACGUUAUGUUGUAUUUUUAAAUCCAUUUGUAAUUAUAUCCGUCCGUGAAACAAUAAUAUAAAUUGAUCAAAUUAAAAUACAGACCAUUGCCAAUAUAUUAUGAAUUAAUUGCGCUUUCAUCAUCCAACAACUCAUACAUUAUUCCAUAAAUAAAAUAAAUAUAUUAAUAAAGAGGAGAAGAUGGAAUAAUAAUAAACAACACAACAAACACGUAUGAUUGAAAGUUGUACUUUUUAAACACAUUUACCAUUUCAUCGGUAGUAUAUAGAAAGAGGGGAAACUUAGUGAACUUAAAACAUGUUUGAAUACUAAGUGAACUAAAGCAUAACAAAUCCCUAAAAAUUGCUUAAUUUCAAAUGGGUUUUCUAUCCGAAUCAAAUCUAAUUUCCAAAACAGAUCAAUAUAAGAACAUCUAAAAUUGAAUUGUAUCAUCAUCAACCACAUCUACACCGGCCAUUGGUGAAACCAAACGCUUACAAUCACCGAAUUACGAACUUUUUGAGAUGCAAUAGAAACACAAAUUGACAACUGUGAAUGAUAAGAACUAAGAAGAACUGGACUACAUUGAAUCAGAGACGACAACUGAGAUUGGUACAUUAGAAGAAACAAACUAAAACUCACCAGAGACAUGGUUGUUCCAGAAAAACGUUUCGCUUAGACUUAAAUCUGAAAUACGCAAAGCCAAAAAAAAACCCAAACUUUGUUAUCAGUGAUUCAGUAUUACAGUGGAAAAAAAUUGGUAGAUGCGAAGAGAAUAACCCUAAAUGGUGCAACAGAUCAAUCAUCAAUCUACAAAUGCAAUUCAAAUAUAAAUGACACUGAAUUACAUGGAUUAAACAAGAAUUACAAUUUUACAAAUAUAAAUGACACUGAAUAUGCCAUGAAAAGUUAGGCUCCACAACAGGUAAUAACCCAUGGAAAUUCAAAACAAGCAUGUUCGACAAAGAUGCAACUGAAAAUCUAAAACCCGAAUCACUUCCACAGAACCUGAGACCAUGCUUGCGCGCAUCAAUCAAAUCCAAAUGACACGUGGGAAGAUAGUCGACAUUGCCUCGCAUCUACUAGACCCAAAACACAACUUCCCUUAUCCUCUUUGUUCACGAGUGCUCAUACGGUUUCUAUUCUAUUUUGCGCAGGUAAUAACCUAAAAUUUGUUAUCAGUGAUUCAGUAUUACAAUGGAAAAAAAUUGGUAGAUGCGAAGAGAAGAACCCUAAAUGGUGGCAACACAUCAAUCAUCAAUCUACAAAUGCAAUUCAAAUUUUAAGAAAACCCUAAAUGGUGGCAACAGGAUUCAAUCAUCAAUCUACAAAUUCUAACUUAAAACCCCUAAAAUCCCUACACCAGAUAUUCACAAAUUCACAUUAAUAAUAAAACCUAAUUCAAAAUUACCUAAAUUUUAGAGGGAUGAUGGUUGGUAGUGGUACUGGACCACUGGUGGUAGCAGUGUUCCUCGACGGUGGUGAUAGGGUGAUGGUGGUUGCAACGACGGAGGUGAUGCCAUUGUGUUGGUAGCGACGGCGCUGUGAGAGUCUAAGAGUUGGAGCUCGAUGGUGGCUACGACGGCGGAGGUGGUGCUGUUGUAUUGGUCCUGACGGCAUUAAACACUGUGAGUGAGAGUCUGAGAGUUGGAGUCGAGGGAAGGGACAUGGAGGGAGUCGAGUCGAGGGAAUGAGAGAUUCUGAGAGACUGAGGGUGAUUCUGGAACUCGGGAGGUGGAAUUGGCUAGGGUUGAAACUAACUGUUGAGAUUGGAUGGAGAUAUGAUAUUUUAAAUCUCGUCUGUCCAUUGUAAUUACAAACAGGCCGGUCCGGGUUCUCGCAUUUCUUAUACUUUUAGAACUGGCCCAAACUGAAAACUUCAAAGGCCAGGCCCGGCCCGCCUCGUAUCGUUCUGUUUUUACAAAAUUAGGAACUGGUCCGUACCCGCCCCGACCAGCAAUUCCUGUACCCAUUUGCCCACCCCUUUAUACAACGAUCUUGAUCUGAUUUCUUUGACAUGUUGAAUUUGCUGGUGGGGCGUUGAGAUGCGGUGAAUAUGUGACAUUACGCAAAGCUGGAGAUGCAAGCCAUAAGGUUGGUCAUAUACAGAUAUGCUAAUAGUACUAGCACCUAAAUUUUGGGCACAAUAGUUCCAUAGCAAGAGUUAUGGUUUGCGAAUGGAAAGUCUGACAAGCGUAUGUAUAAUUUGAUCUUUUGUAGGGUGGGGGUUCCGGCACCCAACGAAUUGUGAUCAAAGACCCCUUAUGUGAGGAUUGUUACAAGAUUCGGGAGUAUCUCUACUCACAAUUUUAUUUGCUUUAAGAUCAUCUCCAAUCCUUGGGGAUAAAGCUUAAAAUUUUAAGCCAUAAGUCAGAAUCUGAUUUUCCUUUACAACCCUUAUGGCUUAAAAUUUUAGAUGAUCAAAUAAUGAUUUUAGCCUAACUUUUUGUUUUUGGUAACUUUUUUUGAAAAUAAAAUUUAUGUAGAUUAUCUUAAUUUAUUUUUAUGAACAUUUUAGUCUAAAAAUAUUUAAAUUCUGAUAAGUAAUUAAAAAUCAUACAAAUACAUAGGUGUUUAUAAAGUUUUAAGUUAAAUUUGAUUUAAAUAAUUUUCUUAAUUUUGGGCCGUCAAAUCUUUUUUUUUACUAUUAGAUUUGAUCUCAUUUCAUCGUAGCAGUUAGAUUAUAAGUAAAAAAACAAAAAAAAGUUUGAAAUAUAACAAUUUGGUGGGUUCAAAAUAAUUUAAGCCAGGCUUAAAUCCCGGGAGGAAUUUAGCUUAGAGAUAUAUUUUCUCUCCCGGACUUAUUUUAACCCAUGAUUGGAAAUGGUUUGGGAGGGUUUUUAAAACUUAUAUUUUAAGCUUUAUUUCAUGAGUUGGUGAUGGUCUAAGGGGAGAGACAUAAUAUCUAACGCUUUCGGAUGAACUAACAUUUAAUCGCGAUAUUAACUUCUAGUGAUUCGAGGAAACACACUAAAGUUUAAUUUCAAUGCAGGCCUUAUUUUUGGACCCGGUUUCUCUGCCCUCCCAAUUCCCAUACACUCUCAUCUCUUCCUAUUUUGUGCAAUCACGCUUAAGCCACAUCAACAUUUUAUAUUGAUUUUUUUAUAGAGAUAAUAAGACAAAAAAUAAUAGUGAUAUAAAAUAUUAACGUGACUUAACUGUAAUCGCAUAAAUAGGAGGAGACGAGAGCGUAUAGGGCUAGGAGGGCAGUGUCAUGGUCAGACAUUUUAAGUGAAAGUGACAAUAUGUGCAGCUGAGUCAAUGCAUUGGAAACCUGGUUCCUCAUCAAUAUGCUUAUAAAGUAUGGAAACUAAUAAUUGUUGAGCAAACGCAGUUGCUCUUUGUCUGAUUGCUUACGAUUCACCAUGGAAACCUGGUUCCUUAUCCUCAUCGCCCUCUGCGUCUCCUUCCUCCUCAAACCCCUUCUCUCUCUAUUCCUACCCACUUCCAUCUCCAGACCCAAUCUCCCUCCCGGGCCUCGCUUCUUCCACAUCAUCGAAGGCUUCUUAUUCCUCCUCAAAUCUUCCUUGGAGCUCGAGCCUAUUAUCCGCAAACUCCAGGCCGAAUACGGGCCCAUCAUCUCCCUCCCCAUCGGCUCCCGCUCUACCGUCUUCGUCGCCGAUCGCUCCCUCGCCCACCAGGCCUUAAUCCAGAACGGAGCCGUGUUCGCCGACCGCCCCCUGGCCUUGGCCACCAACAAGUGCGUCAGCAGCAACCAGCACACUAUCGGCUCCGCCGUCUACGGCCCCUUGUGGCGCCUCCUACGCCGCAACCUCACCUCUGAAAUCCUUCACCCUUCCCGCGUCAAAUCCUACGGCAACGCCCGCAAAUGGGUUCUCGACAUCCUCGUCAACCGCCUCAAAACCGAGUCUCAAUCCCACUCCGAAGCUGCCGCCACCGGAGUCAGGGUGGUCGACCACUUCCAAUACGCCAUGUUCUGCCUCCUGGUUCUGAUGUGCUUCGGCGACAAAUUGAACGAAGAGCAAAUCAAAGAAAUCAAGCGCGUGCAGCGCCAACUACUUUUGAGUUUCGGGCGGUUCAAUAUCCUCAAUUUCAAGCCGAAAUUGACGAAGAUUAUCUUCAAAAAUCGGUGGCGGCAAUUAUUUAAAAUCCUCGAGGAACGACGAGAAGUGCUCCUCCCUCUGAUUCGAGCACGACAAAAUAGGGCAAAGCAGGGCAGCAAAACCGACGACAAAGAUGAUGAAUUUGUGUUGUCGUAUACAGAUACGCUGCUGGACCUCGAGCUUCCCGACGGCAACGAAAAGCGGAAGCUUUCGGAGGGAGAAAUGGUCAGCCAAUGCUCAGAGUUUCUGGAUGCCGGCACCGACACGACUUCCACCGCGCUGCAGUGGAUCAUGGCCAACGUAGUGAAGUACCCGCAAGUUCAGGAGAAGCUGUUUGCCGAGAUUAAAGGGGUGAUGGGAGAAACGGAGGACGAGGUGCGGGAGGAGGUCCUGCACAAGCUGCCGUAUCUGAAAGCCGUGAUCUUGGAGGGGCUGAGGCGCCACCCGCCGGCGCACUUUGUGCCGCGCGCGGUGACGCAUGACGUGGAUUUGGGCGGACACGUGGUGCCCAAGAACGGGAGUGUUAGUUUCAUGCUGGCGAGUAUAGGGUGGGACCCGCAAGUGUGGGAGGACCCCAUGGCGUUCAAGCCGGAGAGGUUCUUGGGCAGCAGUGGAGGAGAAGAAGGGUUCGAUUUGAGGGGGAGCAGGGAGAUUAAGAUGAUGCCGUUUGGGGCAGGGAGGAGGAUCUGUCCAGGGUCGGGAUUGGCGGUGCUUCACCUGGAGUACUUUGUGGCGAAUUUGGUGUGGAAAUUUGAGUGGAGAACUGUGGAGGGAGAUGACGUGGACCUGUCAGAGAAGCAGGAGUUUACUAUAGUGAUGAAGAAUCCAUUGCAUGCCCACGUAAUCCCUAGAAUUUAAUACGUGUGAGAAUUCUGUACUAAUUAUUCGGUGCAUAUUCAACCGUUGAAUCUAUCCAUGUAUGCUUUUCAUUGAUUAUGUAAUUUUGAAAAUUUAGAUUUUUAGUUUACUAGUCUGAUUCAAGACGGAUUUUAUAACUUCAAUAUUUAGAGAGUGAUUUGAGUGAGCUGUAUUUGCUACUUUUUAGCUUAUAACUAAUACAACUUUCAAAUCUUGGGAAGACAACUUCUGCAUUUAGAGACUGCCCAAGAGCAAGGAGCAUUUGAGAAAUUGAUGGGAUUGCCUACAUAGGUACAACUCUCCUUUAAUCUUUGUGUUACAGCUUGUCUAAUGACUAAUUCGAAAUCCAAGUUACCGUGGUUUGAACAAAUUCGAUGGAGUAGUGUUUUUAUUUUUACCUUCGUAUAUAUGGAAAUGAAAGAAUAAACAACUCUUUGAAGACAACUUCUUUCCGACAAAGGUGUUCAAUUACCAUUUCCGUUCAUUGCUUAAUUUGUUAGACUAUGCUUCGUCCCUAAAAUUCGUCAUCUGAAGUAAUCUCAAGUUUUCAACAUCAUGUUUUGAGCCCCAGAGAUAAGGUUAAGCUCUAUGGAACUACUAUAUUUACAGCGAUCUCGAUCUGAUAUGCUAAGGGUGCGUUUGUUGCGCCGGACUGUCUCGGAUUGGACUAGCUGCCGGGACUAAGCUGGACUGGCUUAGACUGGACUAAGCUGGACUAACUUAGUGAAGCGUUUGGUGUAAUGUCGGACUAAGAAGCAGGAUAAGAAAAACAGUACUGUUCACCAGAUUUGUGUUUGCUUAGACUAGGAUUACAAAUUUUUGCCAUUGUGUAAUAGAGUAAUGCUACAAAUCUCAUGAUAUGGGUUAAUUGGAGCAUAUUUUUGCCAUGUAUAUUAUGAAUCUUAAAAAAAAAUUGACAAUUGUUUUGUUUCUAUUACCUGCUAAUAGAAUUGGGUUUAAUUUGCAAAUGUAGCUUGGUUUAAACUCUAUCACCCAACAGAAGAAAAAUAAUAGUGCCCAAUACAUGCAACUUCAACAAAUACAAGUACAUAAGAAGAUCUCCAUAAUUUAGAAAAUCCUAGUUAACAUUAGCCAAAAUAGAUCUCCAUAAUUUACAAAAUGGCUAGUUAACAUAAGCCAAAAUACUAGUGCAAAGCUAAGUUAUAAGCCAUAACAUAAGAUUGUAUGAUUAAUAAAAUACAUCCAUGUUAACAUUAAUAAAAUACAUCCAUGUUAACAUUAGCCAAAAUCCUCAUCCGCUUGCGUUGUCGCUUAAAAGCCUUUGGACGAACACUUUCUUGAGUUCCGGUUUGAUUGCCCUGAACACUCCCACAUUUUUUGGUUUAUCCAAAAUAAGAGACAAUGCAUCAAUUUGAUCCAUAGGAGAGAGACCCAUUGCUUCAAGUUCAUUAGCUAUGUCAGUAUGAUCUGCAGUACCUUGAACUAAAGCUUCAGUUACCAUUUGCAUCCUCUUCCCACUUUCAACAUAAAAAUCUUUCAGUCCACUGAUAAUUGCCUCGGUUCCAUCACUUGAACUUCCCACAGCUCUUUUCCUCUUUCUUUGGCUAUUUUCAGAUGGGGUGCUUUGUUGGCUUUUGUUGGUUCAUUGAAGAAACAAAAUUUUCACCUCCAAUAUCACUUUCACCAACAUGAUCAUAACUUUGUUCCUCCACCAUUUGAGCAGGGGUUUCGGCUACAUUACCCGUAGCCCGAUCUUUUCCAAAUAUAUAUGCAAAUCUAUCAAACAGUGGAAAAGGUUUGCUUCUCCAUCCAUCGGCUUCUUUAUUUCUCUAAGAUUAUAUCAACAUAGCAAAACUAAAAUUUAGCAUGCGUAACAAAUAUAGCAGCAAUAAUAUAACUAAUGUAUAAAUAAAAUAGGAUAUGAACCUGCACAUAAGUUUGCCAUGAGUCAUCACUGUCAACUUCAACGCACUUUUUGACAUCAUUCCAUGCAAAUCCACUUGUGUUUAUCAUGUCAACGACCAUACUAUAUGUUUUUUUUUCCAUUUCUUCAACUUGGACUCAAUAUGUAGAUUUGCCUUUAUAUUUGAAUGAGGACAUAAAACAUUGACAGCUUUUGCUAUUUCAACCAAAGUACCUUGUUUGAAAGCACCGGUGUCACACCGUUGCUUCCGAGCAACAAAAUCCUCAAGAACUCCUAGUAAUACUUCUUCCUCAAAUGCUUCCCAUUUACGCCUUCUUCCUUUUGGCUCUUGAGUAGCAUUCAAAAUAUUUUCGUUAUCCAUACCUAAACAAAAAAUAUUUUAAUGAAGGAAAAUACCAUACAAAUAAUCAAUCUGCAUAAUAUCCAAUCAACUUACAUAAUAUCCAAUCAACUUGCAUAAUAUCCAAUUAAUUUGCAUACCAUCCAAUCAUUGUGCUAAUAUCUAACAAAUGCAUGAUAAAAAGGAAUACUAAAAUAAAAUGUUAUCAUUAACACAUAUAGCUAGUUCGGUUGCUGGUUCCUAAUUGCUCUCCACUCGUUAUACAUUUCCUGAGCCAUAUCAUUCCUCUUUGCAGUCCACUGGUCAGAUGUUUGAACACUACCAACAUAUUCACCUUCUUCUGUAUUUUGUCCAUCUUCUAUUAUUGGCAAAUUCUCCAUUGGAUCUACAGACAUCUCUUGCCUAAUAAGAUUGUGUAGUAGGCAACAAGCGGUAAUUAUUCGACCUUGUGUCCUUAUCGGAUAGAAAGAUGGACUCCUUAGUAUCGACCACCUUCCUUUUAGCAAGCCAAAACAGCGUUCAAUUACAUUCCUUGCCUUAGAAUGAUUCAUGUUAAAAUAUUCUUCCUUAUUAGAAGGUGUUCGUCCCUCCCAUUCAGAUAAAUGAUAAGGUAUUCCUCUAUAGGGUGCAAGGAAUCCUUCACCAUUUGUAUAACCACCAUCUACAAGGUAAUAAUAACCUAAUGAAAAAAAAAACAGACCUUAUUAGUGUUUUGUAGUUGACAAACAGAACUAGACCUAACUUACAAAGUUGAGACUAAGUAAUAGUCUUACCCGCUGGUACCUUAAAACCAUUAGGCAUAGUAAUUGCAUCAUGUAGCACUCUAGAGUCUGAUGCGGAACCCUCCCACCCCAGAAACACAUAUAUGAACUGCAUAUCUCCUGAACACACACCUAACACAUUAGUUGCGACUCGACCCUUUCUUGUUCGGUAUCUUGGUUUGUCAAUUUCAGGUACAUGCACAUCAAUGUGUGUUCCAUCCAAUGCUCCCAAACAAUUCUUAAAAAAAAAAAAAAAAAAAAAAAGUUUUUGUUAAUUUAUACAAAGGGAAUGAAGAGUUAAAGCUUAGGGAAAAUGAAAAAAAAUUCUCAUCAUACCUUAAAACAUCGCCACCUAGGAUCUGUAGAAUCAAUAGGCACAGGCUGUGGGACUUUCAGUAGGAUACCUUGUAAUCGCAAAAUUCCUUGCAAUACGCUAUUAAAAUACCUACUUAUAGUCUCUCCCGACCUAUAAAAUCUACCGCCAACACUACGAUUCUUAGUAUGAUGUGCUAAUAUUUGUAAAGUCAUACACACCUGCUCCUCUACAGACACCAAACCAUCAGUUUUUACCCUCACAUCUUGACGAAGUAAGUCACAUAAUAUGUCAAAAGUCCUUCUAUCCAUUCUCAAUUCGUUGACACAUUCAGUAUCAGUAUUCCCUAUUAUACCAUUCAGAUAACACAAACUAAUCUCUCGUCUAAUAAGUGAACGGUUAGUCAAUGUGGGUCGUUCAACAUGUCUCUGUUUGCCACGUAGCAUCAUCAACACAAGAAUCGUACAAAUGCAAAUUGUCUCCAAAUAAGACAUCUCUAACAAUAAGAUCAAUAAAAGCUUCCUUCGAUCCAUAUCUAUCCAAACAAAAAAAAAAACAAAAAACAAAUUAAGGACAUUAUAUAUGUAAUAUUUACUGUUAUUAAGGGUGAUGGAAAUGAAGUGAUUAUGAUACGAAAUGAACUAGAUCAAAGUAACUAGCGAAGUCACAAUCCGAGGCAUCAAAUAUACGGGUGGUGUUGGAAAAAAAAAGCUAUCAUUAACCCGAGGCAACAAAUAUACAGGUGGCGUUGAAAAAAAAAAUUAUCAUUAACCCGAGGCAACAAAUAUACAGGUGGCGUUGAAAAAAAAAAAGUUAUCAUUAACCCGAAGCAUCAUAUUCAAAAUGUUCUACUCUUAUACAUCUAUAAACAUGUGUCUAAGAACACUAGUAUGAGGAUUGCUAUCAUUGCUAGGCAUUGCAUAUGAAGAGGGAAAUUAAAGGACACCUGUAAUGCAGUAGCCUUAGCCUUAGCCUUCUGUUUAUGCUCCUCUUCUCUGCAACCAACAACCACAAAAAAUUGCAAUUCAGCAUCAACCCCACACAAUACAAAACAUUCACAUUGUAAUAUCAUGGUUAUAAACCAAGUACACACACACACACUCAUGGACAAAUGUGCAAAAUACACAUACAUACUCACACUCACACUCACACUAACACACACACACGAACAUACACACUCUCACACACGGACAUACACUCACACACACUCAUGGACAAAUGUGCAAAAUACACAUACAUACUCACACUCACACUCACACUAACACACACACAUGGACAUACACACUCUCACACACGGACAUACACUCACACACACCCUGCAUACAUACAUACACACACACACACACACACUGCAUACAUACAUACACACACACACACACACUGCAUAUAUACAUACACACACACACACAUACUCACACUGCAUACACACACACACACACACUGCAUACAUAGACACACACACACACUGCAUACAUACACACACACACACACACACACACACACACACACUGCAUACAUACACACACACACACACGGCAUACAUACACACACACACACACACACUGCAUACAUACACACACACACACACACUGCAUACAUACACACACACACACACUGCAUACACACACACACUGCAUACACACACACAAACAUACUCACACGGACAUACACACUCUUACACACGGACAUACACUCACACACACCCUGCAUACAUACAUACAUACACACACACACACACUGCAUACAUACAUACACACACACACACUGCAUACAUAGACACACACACACACACUGCAUACAUAGACACACACACACACUGUAUACACACACACACACACACUGCAUACAUACACACACACACACACACACUGCAUACAUACACACACACACACACACGGCAUACAUACACACACACACACACACACUGCAUACAUACACACACACACACACACGGCAUACAUACACACACACACACACACACACACUGCAUACAUACACACACACACACACUGCAUACAUACACACACACACACACACUGCAUACAUACACACACACACACUGCAUACAUACACACACACACACACACUGCAUACAUACACACACACACACACACUGCAUACAUACAUACACACACACACACACACACGGCAUACAUACACACACACACACACUGGUCAGCUGCACACACUGCACUCACACAGACAUACACACUCUCACACACGGACAUACACUCACACACACACUGCAUACAUACACACACACACACACACUGCAUACAUACACACACACACACACACUGCAUACAUACACACACACACACACACUGCAUACACACACACACACACACACACACACUGCAUACAUAGACACACACACACACUGCAUACAUACACACACACACACAUUGCAUACAUACAUACACACACACGGCAUACAUACACACACACACACUGCAUACACACACACACACAUACACUGCAUACAUAGACACACACAUACACUGCAUACAUACACACACACACACACUGCAUACAUACACACACACACACACACACUGCAUACAUUCACACACACACACACACACGGCAUACAUACACACACACACACACUGCAUACAUACACACACACACACACACUGCAUACAUACACACACACACACACACACACACACACACACACACACACACACACACUGCAUACAUACACACACACACAUUGCAUACAUACACACACACACACACUGCAUACAUACACACACACACACACUGCAUACACACACACACUGCAUACACACUCACACACAUACACACUCUCACACACGGACAUACACUCUCACACACUGACAUACACUCACACCCUGCAUACAUACACACACACACUGCAUACACACACACACACUGCAUACACACACACACACACACUGCAUACACACUCACACACAUACUCACACGGACAUACACACUCUCACACACGGACAUACACUCACACACACCCUGCAUACAUACAUACAUACACACACACACACACUGCAUACAUACAUACAUACACACACACACACUGCAUACAUACACACACACACACACACACAGAUUACACACACACACACAGAGUAUACACAAACAGAGAUUACACGCACACAUAGAGUAUACACACACACACAGACAAACCAGAGUACACACACACAUAGUAUACACACACAUGCACACACACACAGACACACACAGAGAUUACACACACAGAUUCUAAUCUCAAUUUGACCUAAAAAUUGAUUUUGAAGUUUACCAGAAAAGUUGAAAUACGAAAACCCCAAAUUCUAAUCUGAAUUUGAACUAAAAAUAUGAAAACCCCAAAUUCUAAUCUCAAUUCGACGAAAUCAAUCGAAGAUUUGAAGCUUACCAGACUGUCUCCGACCAGAUGAGGGCGAGAAUACGCAGAGAUGAGGGUGAGGAUGACGACGACGAGGAAGCAGGGCAAGGUCGACGACGAGCGACGAGCAGGACGAAGGACGUUGGGGAUCCUCGCAGAGAUGAGGACGAGCAGGACGUUGGGGAUCCUCGCGGUUUUCUCUCCGAGCUUACGAGUCCGCCCAAAAUUGGGGUUCUUCGUUAAGAACUCGUAAUGAGGCGUGUAAUCCGAGCGAGUCCCACCUAAGCCCAUUAAAGCUAAUCCGGUUGCACACCAAACACAGGACUAUAGUCUAGUCCAGUCCAAGCCUUGCUAAUCCUGUCAAACAAACGUGCCCUAAUAGUAUUAGCACCCAAGUUUUUGGUACAACAGUUGCAUUUUUGCAGAUCGAAAAUAUGACUAGCGUAUUUAUAUUUUUUAUCUUUUUUGUAGGGUGGUGGUUUUGGCACCCAACAAAUUGUGAUCGAAUGCCCCUUAUGCGAGGAUUAUUACAAGAUUCGGGAGCAUCUCCACUCACAAUUUUAUUUGCUUUAAGUAGAGAUACAUAAUAUCAAACGCCUUCGGAUGAACUGUCAUUUAGUCGCGAUGUUAAUUUAUAGUGAUUUCACAACACUAAAAGGUACCUCCUCGAUCACAAUAUACUCAACAAUACCUUCCACACUUUCUUCUAGGCUCCACCCUUUAGCAACAAGCUUGUUUUUGACAUCCUCAAAAGGUCCAGAACUGCCUAGAACCUUUG